rnacentral:rRNA from 1 species
GACGAACGCUGGCGGCGUGCCUAAUACAUGCAAGUCGAGCGGAAGUUGGAGAGCUUGCUCUUCAACUUUAGCGGCGGACGGGUGAGUAACACGUGGGCAACCUGCCCUGCAGAUCGGGAUAACUCCGGGAAACCGGUGCUAAUACCGAAUAGUUUUCGCCACCUCCAGGUGGCGUACGGAAAGACGGUUUCGGCUGUCACUGCAGGAUGGGCCCGCGGCGCAUUAGCUAGUUGGUGGGGUAACGGCCCACCAAGGCAACGAUGCGUAGCCGACCUGAGAGGGUGAUCGGCCACACUGGGACUGAGACACGGCCCAGACUCCUACGGGAGGCAGCAGUAGGGAAUCUUCCGCAAUGGACGAAAGUCUGACGGAGCAACGCCGCGUGAGUGACGAAGGUUUUCGGAUCGUAAAACUCUGUUGUGAGGGAAGAACAAGUACCACGUAACUACUGGUACCUUGACGGUACCUCACCAGAAAGCCACGGCUAACUACGUGCCAGCAGCCGCAGUAAAAC